CGGGGCCGGGGCGCUGCCCCGCCGCCAUGUUGGCUGCCCCCCCGGGCAGGGUUACUGGGCACUAAUUUAACCCCUCAGCUAUAGGAUAAAAGCCCAAAGGUUUAUAAAAGCACAAAGUACAAAGCUAAGGGGCUCAAGGUGCUCUGUGGGGUCUGGGGUGAUCCGGGCAGGCGGUCUAUGAGGUCUUUCAGGUCCCUCAGAGCCCCCCGGUGUUGUGCUCCGUGAGGGGCGCACCCCCCCUGACGGGAUCGUGAGGUAAAAUUAAGGCUAUCUAUCGGAAUGUAAAGGAAUCGUGAGGAAAUAAUUAAAGGUUAUACACCAGAAAGUGAGAUUCACUGGAAGAACAUGCCGAUAUUCCUUCAGGAAGGGAGGCGGCGCCUGCACCUCAGCACGCUGGGUGCCAACGGCGCCUGGUGCUGCAGGCACACGGUGCCCCGGGGCUGGCAGAGCCCAGCCGAGCCUUAACCGAGCAGUAACCGAGCCGUGCCGAGCCGUGCCAGGCCGCCCGAAGGCUGCAGGGGGCGCCGGCAGCUCGCUGAGGCGAGGCGGGGAGGCUCCGUGGCCGGGCAGCACCGGGCGGCGCCUCCCCCUCCGCCUGCAGGUCGCUAACUGCACCGAAACUCGGGGUUUCAGUCAGAAAAUCGGCCUUGGAUGCUUUCUCUGUUUCCUGAAGCAGCGCAGUGUUGUCUCUGUCAGCGGGACGCUGCACCUGAGGGCUGCCCGGCUUCCAGAGGUGAAGGAUUUCAGGGGAAGGACCACCAGUGCCCAGCCCCUCGGCUUCCAGCAGCUGUGCACAGAACAGAAGCGUCUGCGGAGCCCCUGCUCCAGGUGACAGCACAACCAAAGCCACGGGACGCUUCCCCAUGGCUCCUAAUCAACUUAAGUUCCUCGGAGUCGCGCAGACAGAGAAACCGAUUAAGCAGAGAAAUGCUGAAAAUAAUUCUGCUAAAGCAUUUCAAGAUGUCCACGCGAAGGUUCUCUCCCCCUCAGCCCUUCUGAUUUUCCUGGUAGGUGAGGCUUGUGCCGAGGGAGGCUGGAGAGCAGCACACUCUCGAGUGCUCGCCUUCUGCAUUCCUACUGCUUUCUGCUCAGCAGCUGAGCAGACCUCGUGUCCCUCGUGCCCUUGCAUGCGAGGAGCCUCUGCUUGAAACAAGCAUGGAAAAGCCUGAGCGCUUUUACGAGUGACUUCUCCUUUAUGCGCUGCCUGAUGCCACUUAGAUGCAACAUGCCCUCCCUGCUUAAAGACUUUGAUCCAUUACUGUUAAACUUUUUUUGGCUUUUGUUACGCAGCUUAAGCAUUCAAGUUGCCUCAUGCAGGCACUUAGGCGCUUUUUCAUGCGUGGUUAUUGCAGUACACUUGGAAUCGAGCUGCUAUUAACGGAAAUAGAUUAUUUUUUUCCAAGGAGAAGUUGUAUUUCCUUGUACCUGCUGUUUCACGGCGCUGUUUGCCUUUCAGCUGCCUCCCCUGACGAGCCCCAAAGGCCAAAGGGCUUGCGCUCGGCAUGCUGGGGCUCCUCGAGCUGCACCCCUUCACAUCGCACAAAUCCCAGAGGGUUUCACCCCGAGGAAUCCUGCUGGGGCUGCUUGGUGCUUUCCAGAGCUGCGACUGCAAGCGCAGAGCUCGCUGCUGGGCACCAAGGCUGCGCGUUGUGUGGGGUGCUCGUCCCAGCUCAAGGCUGAGCAUCUGGCCACACUCACCGUGCCCUGAAGCAUGUAAUUAGCAGGGCAGCACAGAGCACACAAACGAACAUUUUUAAUUAUCCCUGAGCUCCUGCGCCCGCCUGAACGGAUGCGGAAUGGGAGAGGAAACAGCAGCCGGCCCUGCAGCCGCUGUGUCAGGCGGACGCGGUCACACGUUGAAUGUACGCUUAGCCAUCAGCUGAUGGCACAGCACACAACGCAGCCGGAGGGUACUGCCAGUCCCGUUCCCCUUCCUCAGCAAAAAAAUAAACCAAAAGAGUUCAUGAGACAGGGACUGGGACAAAUGAGCAAGCCCAACAAAAUGAGCCCCCAUGCAGCGAGCAGCACAGGUUGCUCAUUCCAGCUGUGCAUUUUCCAGGAUUUACCCCAAGCUGCAGGUUCUCUGGUGCUGGAGGAGAGGGAAUUGGCUUUUUUUUCCAUUGUGGAGGAGGCUCCAGGAGGGCGCGGGUCCCAGCGGGUCCCACAGCCCGGGGGCACCCCACGACCACCGGAGCCCCCCGUGUGCUGCCGAGGGAGGCGAGCUGGGCUCGGGGAGCCGCAGCAAUGUCACCGACCGCCUCCUACAUCUGGUACGUCUCAGGAUAAUUUAUUUUAACCUCCGAAGAUACAAGGGAAAAUAUUUGAAGGGGAUGGAGCCGUGCCAGUAUUUCCAGUUCAUUAUAAGCAAAGAGCUGUUGCUUAUAGCACUUUUUUGGAGCGGAGAGCAGUCUGGUUUUAAAUCCCUUAAGCAAUGAGGCAUCGUGUACAAGCCAAUGUAAAUUCUUCCUCGCUAAAGAAUUCGCUAAUUAAAAAACUUUAAUUUUUAAAUCCA